AGAUACCCUGGUAGUCCACGCCGUAAACGAUGUCGACUUGGAGGCUGUGAGCAUGACUCGUGGCUUCCGGAGCUAACGCGUUAAGUCGACCGCCUGGGGAGUACGGCCGCAAGGUUAAAACUCAAAUGAAUUGACGGGGGCCCGCACAAGCGGUGGAGCAUGUGGUUUAAUUCGAUGCAACGCGAAGAACCUUACCUGCUCUUGACAUCCACGGAAUUUGGCAGAGAUGCCUUAGUGCCUUCGGGAACCGUGAGACAGGUGCUGCAUGGCUGUCGUCAGCUCGUGUUGUGAAAUGUUGGGUUAAGUCCCGCAACGAGCGCAACCCUUAUCCUUUGUUGCCAGCGAUUCGGUCGGGAACUCAAAGGAGACUGCCGGUGAUAAACCGGAGGAAGGUGGGGAUGACGUCAAGUCAUCAUGGCCCUUACGAGCAGGGCUACACACGUGCUACAAUGGCGCAUACAAAGAGAAGCGACCUCGCGAGAGCAAGCGGACCUCACAAAGUGCGUCGUAGUCCGGAUCGGAGUCUGCAACUCGACUCCGUGAAGUCGGAAUCGCUAGUAAUCGUGGAUCAGAAUGCCACGGUGAAUACGUUCCCGGGCCUUGUACACACCGCCCGUCACACCAUGGGAGUGGGUUGCAAAAGAAGUAGGUAGCUUAACCUUCGGGAGGGCG
rnacentral:rRNA from 1 species